CCUACGGGUGGCAGCAGUGAGGAAUAUUGGUCAAUGGGCGCGAGCCUGAACCAGCCAAGCAGCGUGAAGGAUGACUGCCCUACGGGUUGUAAACUUCUUUUAUAAAGGAGUAAAGUGAGGCACGUGUACCUUUCUGAAUGUACCUUACGAAUAAGGAUCGGCUAACUCCGUGCCAGCAGCCGCGGUAAUACGGAGGAUUCGAGCGUUAUCCGGAUUUAUUGGGUUUAAAGGGAGCGUAGAUGGGUUGUUAAGUUAGUUGUGAAAGUGUGCGGCUCAACCUUAAAAUUGCAAUUGAUACUGGCCGCCUUGAGUGCAGUUGAGGUAGGCGGAAUGCGUGGUGUAGCGGUGAAAUGCUUAGAGAUCAUGAAGAACUCCGAUUGCGAAGGCAGCUUACUAAGCUGCCACUGACGUUGAGGCUCGAAAGUGUGGGGAUCAAACAGGAUUAGAUACCCUAGUAGUC
rnacentral:rRNA from 1 species